rnacentral:tRNA from 1 species
GGCCUUGUGGCGCUACGGUAGCGCGUCUGACUCCAGAUCAGAAGGUUACGUGUUCAAAUCACGUCAGCGUCA